CAUGGCAGAGGUUUAUGGGCUAAGUCAGGGCUGUCCAAACUGCGGUCCCCCAGAUGUUGCUGAAAUACACCUCCCAUGAUUCCCUGGCUAUCUGUUUCAUUGAAAGAAUCAUGGGAGUUGUAGUUCAGCAACAUGUGGGGGGGCCGCAGGUUGGACAGCCCUGGGCUAAGUGGUCUCAGCCAUG